GAUGAAGAACGUAGCGAAAUGCGAUAAGUAAUGUGAAUUGCAGAAUUCAGUGAAUCAUCGAAUCUUUGAACGCACAUUGCGCCCGCCAGUAUUCUGGCGGGCAUGCCUGUUCGAGCGUCAUUUCAACCAUCAAGCCCCAGGCUUGUGUUGGGGACCUGCGGCUGCCGCAGGCCCUGAAAACCAGUGGCGGGCUCGCUAGUAACACCGAGCGUAGUAGCAUACACAUCGCUCAGGGCGUGCUGCGGGUUCCGGCCGUUAAACCCCUUUUUUACCCAAGGUUGACCUCGUAUCAGGUAGGAAGACCCGCUGAACUUAAGCAUAUCAAUAAGCGGAGGA
rnacentral:misc_RNA from 1 species